CAAUACAUACACAAGACUAUACCUUUUUUGAAGACUGCAAUAAUUUUCUAGUGUAACAACUCUGUAACAAAAUUUAACUAAAUGUAACAUUUAUGAAAAUAUAAAUCUCUGAUUGGGUAAUUCUUCCCAACAAUACAAAGUUUACAUAAAAACAUUCAAUAUGAGCUAUCAGUUGCAAACAAGUUAGGAAAAAUCAUUCAAGUCACUUGUUAAAACUCUAUUAGCUGUUACAUAGAACAUUCACACUACAUUGAAUCCAUCUAGGCAUUUAAUUCUUAGAAAGGUGUAGCAUGGAGGUCCAACUGAUAAUGACAGGAAUAAGAAUGUAUUACCUCCAAAGAGCUAAAAAAAAAAAAGCAUUGACUCAUACAAUCAACUCCAAGUAAUCUGUACGUGGGCUGAAACUUCUCUGGGCUACCACCUCCCUGGUUGGUAGCUAGACAAGGAGGAACAUACUGGAAAAAAAUCUUUUCACUGGGGUGUUUCCUAUCUGAACCUCAUCUCUGUAUGCUUAUGUGUCAAACUGCUUUCCAAAGUGAAAUACAGCUAUAUUGGAUUCCCUGUGGGUUAGAUCAUUUGUUUCUGCCAUUAGCAUUAACAAUUAGGAUGUAGCUCUCCUUUUUUCUCACAUUUUUCCCCCACAUCUCUGUGAGGUCAACAGAGGAACUAUCACUACCUUUAUUCUUGCAGUUUAAGAAAACAAUACGUUUGGGACGUUAAAGAUCUGUCUAU
rnacentral:lncRNA from 1 species